rnacentral:rRNA from 1 species
UAGGGAAUAUUGGACAAUGGAGGCAACUCUGAUCCAGCCAUGCCGCGUGAAGGAAUAAGGCCCUAUGGGUUGUAAACUUCUUUUAGACGGGACAAAACCCCUUUACGUGUAAAGGGUUGAUGGUACUGUCAGAAUAAGCAUCGGCUAACUUAGUGCCAGCAGCCGCGGUAAUACGAAGGAUGCAAGCGUUAUCCGGAAUUAUUGGGUUUAAAGGGUGCGUAGGCGGACUAAUAAGUCAGUGGUGAAAGCCUGCAGCUUAACUGCAGAAUUGCCAUUGAUACUGUUAGUCUUGAGUACAGUUGAGGUAGGCGGAAUGUGUCAUGUAGCGGUGAAAUGCUUAGAUAUGACACAGAACACCGAUUGCGAAGGCAGCUUGCUAAGCUGUAACUGACGCUGAGGCACGAAAGCGUGGGGAGCAAACA